CACGUAGGCACCAAGCGUUGUCCGGAUUUAUUGGGCGUAAAGAGCUCGUAGGCGGUUCGGUAAGUCGGGUGUGAAAACUUUGGGCUCAACCCAAAGCGUGCACUCGAUACUGUCGUGACUAGAGUUCGGUAGGGGAGUGGGGAAUUCCUAGUGUAGCGGUGAAAUGCGCAGAUAUUAGGAGGAACACCGGUGGCGAAGGCGCCACUCUGGGCCGAAACUGACGCUGUGGAGCGAAAGCGUGGGUAGCAAACAGG
rnacentral:rRNA from 1 species